ACAGUGGACGCGAGCAUCUUUGUUGUAAGUGUUUAUGAGCGUACGGUGGAUGCCUUGGCACCAGGAGCCGAUGAAGGACGUGGGAGGCUGCGAUAUGCCUCGGGGAGCUGUCAACCGAGCUGUGAUCCGAGGAUUUCCGAAUGGGGAAACCCAGCACGAGUGAUGUCGUGUUACCCGCAUCUGAAUAUAUAGGGUGUGUGGAGGGAACGUGGGGAAGUGAAACAUCUCAGUACCCACAGGAAGAGAAAACAACAUGUGAUUCCGUGAGUAGUGGCGAGCGAAAGCGGAUGAGGCUAAACC
rnacentral:rRNA from 1 species